rnacentral:lncRNA from 10 species
UUUUUGUAAUGCUGAUGAAAGUAAUAGGUGAGACAGUAAAAACAGAAAGAGUGCACUGCAAGCAGGAAAAGCCACAGCCUCUUUCCCCACUACCCCUCUCCUUCCUUGCCUCAACAAGCUGCUUCCAGUUUUCACCCUCUGUUUGCUUCUCUAGGAGGGUCCAACUAUGUGGAAGCUGUCACCUUUGAUGGAAUUUAUCUGAUACCAUAUAACAUAGGUGGAAGGAGAGUCAAAGAAUUUGUGGCUAUUUUAAGUCACACAUCAUUUCUUUUUCCAUGCCCCACCCCUGGAACCUUCUCAAGGUGUUUGACUUCAACCAGAGUUGAAGAUCCCCCAUCUGCAAUACUGCUGCACCCCCACCUCAAGCCCCAGCUGAUUGAACCCCAGGUGGAUUCCUGAUUCAGGCAAUCCACAGGCUGGGCUGAAGCAAUCAUGAUGUCUCUCUAAGGAAUAUUAAUUAAAAGCCACAGAGACCCCAGUCAGUUUUAAGGAGGUGUGCCGCCAGAAACCAGGGUCAGCACCAUACCAAACCAAAGUUAUGGAGGAGUAAAAACCAAAAGUCUUGCAGAAGCAGCAGAUUUGGAGACAAAAAAAGCAGAACCCACAUGCAGAAAGAAAAGAGAGGCACCACGUGACCCUUGAGACAAAGUGACAGACAUUCCAGUGCUGCCAGACAGAUUUCCAGUAUCUGUGAGGUCCUGCUGUGCACCAGAGAAGAGAGUUCUGGGAAAACCCCUGCUAUGGGUUGAACUGUAUUCCCCAAACAUUCAUAUGUUGGAGCCUUAACCUCCAGGACCUUAGAAUGGGACCUUACUUGGAAAUAGAGUCAUUGCAGAUGUAAUUAGUUAAGCUGAGUUCCUACUGGAGUAGGGUGGGCCCCUAAUCCAAUAUAUUGUUGUCCUUAUAAAAAGGGGAAGUCUGGAGAAUAGUUAUCCUUCCAAGAUAAACUAUUUGCCAAAUAUGUAACAGAGUAACCAGCCAUUUCCAUAUGGGAUUUCUAGUCAUUUCCCAGUUAAAAAUUAAGGAAUAGGUACACGCAGUAAGAGCACUCAGUGAAGAUGAGGGCAGAGAUCAAGAUGCCACAUCUACAAACCAAGGAACACCAAAGAUUGCCAGAAACUAUCAGAAGCUAGGGGAAAGGCAUGGAACAGUUACUUCUUCACAGCCGUCAGAAGGAACCAACCCUGUUGACACCCGGACCUCAGACGUGAAGCCUCCAGAACCGUGAGAUACAAAAUUCCUGUUGUUUAAGCCACUCAGUUUGUGGUACUUUGUUAUGGCAGCUCUGGAAAAUGAAUAUGACCCCUAUAACUGCAUUUCCAUGUGAGCUCAUUUAAGUGGGUGUCUGUUCCUUGAAGAAGAAAAAUGAUAUGAAUCAAAACAUCCCACCUAAACUGCCUUUGCUCUGAGCAGAGGGAACACCCUCUGGCAGAGCCAGGGUUCUUCUCAGAAAAUUAUUCCCAGUCUCCUCCAGGACUAAGAUAAAUGAAUGAGCAAAGUUUAAAAGUUCUCUUCUAAAGAACAUGGUCAAAAUAGUUUUAGCCUGUAAAAUUUGAAGGCAGAUAAAACCAGAAUUCAGCCUUGGCAGAAUAAACUCUCAAUAAAGUAACCUCAGAUCCUUAGCUCCGAACACCACUUUUUUUUUUCCUGUAUUCCUUCCAAGAUAAACUAUUAGCCAGAUAUGUAACAGAGUAACCAGUCAUUUUUAUAUGGGAUUGUUAUUCAUUGCCCAGUUGAAAAUUAAAGAAUCAGUACAAAAAAAAAAAAAACAAAACACUUUUGUUCUAGGAAAGAGAAUCAGAUAUCCUUUUUUAGCAAUAAUUAACUAGCAAGGUCGUGCUGUCACCACGGUUUUUAAAAUACCCUUUUGUCUUUCAUGGCAAGUGUAUGCAUCUAGACCAUCUGAAAGUGGCUCUAGAACAUGAAAAUAUAAAUGUAAAACAAGAAAGGGGCAGGAAAAGAAUGAGGAGCAGGCAAAACAUAACCACGUGUUGGCUAUUUCUAACUCCCUGGUCCAGGAGUACUCAUUAAUCACUCUAAUCCCACAGAAGUAUAAUGAUUCUGAAUAUCUACAUAUGCCACAAAUUAUCUAAUACUGUUCCUGAUUUACUAGGUGUGGAGUGGCCAUAUAUAAAACCUGACUGUUACUCACAUAAAAUAUUGGCCUGAAACUCUCAGACUUCGAAGCAAGUAGCAGAUUUGGAUGGAAUACACCACAAAUUAAUAAAGCCAUAAUCUAGAGAAGGUAAUAAAUUGACUUUUUAAAUAUGAGAUACUCUAAACUCUGGCUUCAGUGGGGAAGAGUUUUUUUUUUUUACUUCAAGUUAUGCUGAUUUAAUUACAAAAUAAGCUUUUCCAAGGCACUGGCCUUUGUAAUGAAGGUAAAUAUUACAUGUUUGCUAAAAAACAGGGUUUUAUAAAACUCCUCACCUCAUAUAAACAAUUGUAAGUCUUUUGUUUUUUCCAGAAAAAAAAAAACUUUCACUAAGUAUUAGUCACUCAUAUAUCUAUAAAUCUCAGAGGAAUUUCCCCAAGCACUCUGGCUUCCCAAGUAGGAGAUUGUUUCUCCUAGUUCAAGUCUCAUUUCACUGUUAGGCUGGCUGUUAUUUCAUGGUGACUUGCCAUGUUAAUAGUAUGUCUUCUAAUCCACGAAUGUGAUAUAGCUCUCCAACUUAUUUGAGUCCUCUUCAGUUUUACUCAACAGUGUUUUGUAGUUUUCUGUGUAUAGGUUUUGGAAAUCCAUAAUUAAAUUUAUCCUUGGGUAUUCUAUGGUUCUUUGUUAUUAUGAAUUGUAUUUUUUAUCUCAUUUCCCAAUUGUUUUGCUGGUAUACAGAAAUAUAAUUUAUUUACCUAUAUGGACCUGGAAAAUUACAGCUUUGUUAAUUAAAUUCAACUAGUUAUAUUAGUUGUUUUGCAGAUUCCUUAGGAUUUCUACAUUUUAAAAAUAAAGUCAUCUAAGAAUAAAUAAUUUUUAUUCUUUCCAACUUUGAAUGCUUAAUUUCCUUUUUGUAUUGUAUUGCCCUGGUUAAGCCUUUCAGUACAAUGUGGAAUAGAAGUAGUUAGCACCGAGAUCCUUUCCUUGUUCUUCAUCUUAGAUGAACAGCAUUCAGUCUUUUGCAAUUCAAUAGGAUGUUAGCGCGUAGGAUUUCUACGAGUAGCCCACUGAUCUUUUUAGAAUAAUGAGAUCCG